rnacentral:lncRNA from 10 species
CAUUUUACAUCAAAAAGCAAAGAGGGGUACUCCACACCAAGCAAAACAGGCUGUGCACUGUAUACACGCCAUAUUCACAAAUAAAGAAGUCCAGCUUGCACAGAUUUUUGAGCCACUCAGUAGGAGUCUGAAUGCUGAUGUGCCAGAACAACUUAUAACUCCAUUAGUUUCAUUGGGCCACAUUUCUAUGUUAGCACCAGAUCAGUUUGCUUCCCCAAUGAAAUCUGUAGUAGCAAAUUUUAUUGUGAAAGAUCUGCUAAUGAAUGACAGGGUAAGUUUCUCAUUUAAUUAAAUUGAGAAUCAUGAGAUUAAGGCUGUUUACAUCUUCAUCACAGAAACACUUCUGUUUCUGUGUAAUUCUCUUUUUCUUUUAAAUUAUUCUAUAUUGGUUCUACUUAUUUUUUAUUUAUUUAAAUUCGAAACUACUUCCUUAUUUCAUGGUAGCUAUUACUACUAGAAUUUCAC